UACGAAGGGGGCUAGCGUUGCUCGGAAUGACUGGGCGUAAAGGGCGCGUAGGCGGCUUGUUUAGUCGGAUGUGAAAUUCCUGGGCUUAACCUGGGGGCUGCAUACGAGACGUAUGGGCUUGAGUGCGGAAGAGGGUCGUGGAAUUCCCAGUGUAGAGGUGAAAUUCGUAGAUAUUGGGAAGAACACCGGUGGCGAAGGCGGCCAACUGGUCCGGUACUGACGCUGAGGUGCGAAAGCGUGGGGAGCAAACAGG
rnacentral:rRNA from 1 species